UCUUCCGACAAAAAAAAAAAAAGGAAAACAAAGUCAGGAUGUCUGCUUUCGCACAUGUAUUGGAGAUUUGUUUCGCCCGGUGAACUGUAUAUGAUUGCAUUCAUUGGCAAGAGUUGUUAGGCAAGUAAUCUUGUCAAGACUGUUGGCUUAUGAGAAUUGGAAUAGAGGAUUUACCUCAGUAUCAUGGAAUUUAUGCA